rnacentral:rRNA from 1 species
CAGUCGCCGCGGGAAAACGUAGGUGGCAAGCGUUGUCCGGAAUUAUUGGGCGUAAAGGGCUCGCAGGCGGUUUCUUAAGUCUGAUGUGAAAGCCCCCGGCUCAACCGGGGAGGGUCAUUGGAAGCUGGGAAACUUGAGUGCAGAAGAGGAGAGUGGAAUUCCACGUGUAGCGGUGAAAUGCGUAGAGAUGUGGAGGAACACCAGUGGCGAAGGCGACUCUCUGGUCUGUAACUGACGCUGAGGAGCGAAAGCGUGGGGAGCGAACUGGAUUAGAUACCCGUGUAGUCCCUGUCUCUUAUAC